UACGUAGGGGGCAAGCGUUGUCCGGAAUCACUGGGCGUAAAGGGCGCGUAGGCGGCGCGACAAGUCAGUGGUGAAAGCCCGAGCUCAACUUCGGGUCGGCCACUGAUACUGUCGGGCUCGAGCACUGUAGAGGCAGGUGGAAUUCCUGGUGUAGCGGUGAAAUGCGCAGAUAUCAGGAAGAACACCCGUGGCGAAGGCGGCUCUCUGGGACGGUACUGACGCUGAGACGCGAAAGCGUGGGGAGCGAACAGG
rnacentral:rRNA from 1 species